CGGAAGGCAGCAGUGGGGAAUAUUGGGCAAUGGACGAAAGUCUGACCCAGCGACGCCGCGUGAAGGAAGACGGUCUUCGGAUUGUAAACUUUAAUCAACAGGGAAGAAGCAAGUGACGGUACCUGUUUAGAAGCCACGGCUAACUACGUGCCAGCAGCCGCGGUAAUACGUAGGUGGCGAGCGUUAUCCGGAUUUACUGGGUGUAAAGGGUGUGUAGGCGGGGAUGCAAGUCAGAUGUGAAAAUUAUGGGCUCAACUCAUAACCUGCAUUUGAAACUGCGUUUCUUGAGAGUCGGAGAGGUAAAUGGAAUUCCCAGUGUAGCGGUGAAAUGCGUAGAUAUUGGGAGGAACACCAGUGGCGAAGGCGAUUUACUGGACGAUUACUGACGCUGAGACACGAAAGCGUGGGGAGCAAACAGGAUUAGAUACCCUGGUA
rnacentral:rRNA from 1 species